rnacentral:rRNA from 1 species
UACGUAGGGUGCAAGCGUUAAUCGGAAUUACUGGGCGUAAAGGCGUGCGCAGGCGGUUAUGUAAGACAGUUGUGAAAUCCCCGGGCUCAACCUGGGAACGGCAUCUGUGACUGCAUAGCUAGAGUACGGUAGAGGGGGAUGGAAUUCCGCGUGUAGCAGUGAAAUGCGUAGAUAUGCGGAGGAACACCGAUGGCGAAGGCAAUCCCCUGGACCUGUACUGACGCUCAUGCACGAAAGCGUGGGGAGCAAACAGG